rnacentral:rRNA from 1 species
UACAGAGGAUGCACGCGUUAUCCGGAAUUAUUGGGCGUAAAGAGCUCGUAGGCGGUUUGUCGCGUCUGCUGUGAAAACUGGAGGCUCAACCUCCAGCCUGCAGUGGGUACGGGCAGACUAGAGUGCGGUAGGGGAGAUUGGAAUUCCUGGUGUAGCGGUGGAAUGCGCAGAUAUCAGGAGGAACACCGAUGGCGAAGGCAGAUCUCUGGGCCGUAACUGACGCUGAGGAGCGAAAGCAUGGGGAGCGAACAGG